rnacentral:lncRNA from 13 species
AUGGAGUUACUCGAUCCUGGGGAGUCGUUGGAGGACAACCUGCUAAGAGUACGGAAGUCAACGGUGGGCCGCACCCACUCCCUACCCAAUGACAGCUAUAUGUUCCUGUCUCUGGAGCCCUUUGGGUCCCCAGGAGCCAGCCUGGCCCCUAGUUUAGCCUCACAGACACAGACUACAGAACCACAGCACAUACGGACCAUCAACAAGGCCCUGUCAGGCUCAUGUACCUCGCUACGGACCCAACCAGACGACAGACCCAGCAGUCCUCACAGUCUUUCAGACUCCCAGAGAAUACACACACUCCCAGAGUAUACACACACUCCCAGAGUAUACACACACUCCCAGAGUAUACACACACUCCCAGAGUAUACACACACUCCCAGAGUAUACACACAUUCCCAGAGUAUACACACACUCCCAGAGAAUACACACACUCCCAGAGUAUACACACACUCCAAGAGUACACACACACUCCCAGAGUAUACACACACUCAGCCGCACGCUCCGCAGACAGGUGAGCCACACACACACACACAGCCACACCCACAUACAGCCNNNNNNNNNNAUGCUUUGUGUUCAGGAAAACCAAAAGUAAUUUCCCGAACAGUAGGACCUGUAGCCAACUUUACCCACACAUACUGUUUUGAAAAUUACUUUUUAUUUUUGUGUGUAAAGAACUAUCGGUGGUGUUUGUGUUUCCUCAGGCUCAUGUACCUCGCUACGGACCCAACCAGACGACAGACCCAGCAGUCCUCACAGUCUUUCAGACUCCCAGAGAAUACACACACUCCCAGAGUAUACACACACUCCCAGAGUAUACACACACUCCCAGAGUAUACACACACUCCCAGAGUAUACACACACUCCCAGAGUAUACACACAUUCCCAGAGUAUACACACACUCCCAGAGAAUACACACACUCCCAGAGUAUACACACACUCCAAGAGUACACACACACUCCCAGAGUAUACACACACUCAGCCGCACGCUCCGCAGACAGGUGAGCCACACACACACACACAGCCACACCCACAUACAGCC